GGAUAUGAGAAUGAUCUGACUAUGACAUUUGCUACCUCAUUGAUCACCAGUGUUAAUUUGACUGGCCUGUCUGGUUAAGCAGGUGUCCCCUUCCUCCCUUACUGGUUCAUGUGUGUUCUUCCUGAAACUGUGCACUCAAUAAGAAGAAGAUGAUCUUCCCACAACAGAAAAGGGCUGAUCUUCAGUCAAGGGUACCAAGUAGCUACACUCCCGUGCUAGAACCUCCAAACAAGCUUCCAUGACACAAGUAAAAAUGCAACGAGUGCUUACUUGUUCUCAAAAAACUAUCUGAUAUGUUAUGAAAUUGAGUAAUCAACAUUGCACU
rnacentral:snRNA from 1 species